rnacentral:rRNA from 1 species
UACAGAGGUGGCAAGCGUUGUCCGGAAUUAUUGGGCGUAAAGAGCUCGUAGGCGGUCUGUUGCGUCCGCUGUGAAAACCCGGGGCUUAACCCCUGGCUUGCAGUGGAUACGGACAGACUAGAGGUAGGUAGGGGAGAAUGGAAUUCCCGGUGUAGCGGUGAAAUGCGCAGAUAUCGGGAGGAACACCGGUGGCGAAGGCGGUUCUCUGGGCCUUACCUGACGCUGAGGAGCGAAAGCGUGGGGAGCGAACAGG